rnacentral:lncRNA from 1 species
AGGAUUGAGAUUUUUAAAGAAUUAUUCCAUUAUAUAAUUCAAAUUUCAAUCCUUUACAUUCAUUCCUAAUUCUUUGACCUCAACCAAACAGAACAUUACUUUUCCGUGAAAUUACAUAAUAUGAACAUAAUGAUCCUCUUGGUUCUAGUUUCAUAUUCACGAGUUUCAUCUAUUGCAGAAUGAUUUUUUAGCCGUUCCGAUUUUAAUAUGGAUAAAUGACCUUUUAACUCUCAAUGUUUGGGGUGUGUACGGAUACAGCCUCAAUGUUUUAACUCGGCCGAUUCAACCGAUAUGUUCCAAUUAGCCCUCAUAUACCGAAAAAGGUAUAUAACGGAUGGACAACCAUGACAUUUCACACUAAACAUUCUUUAAAUAUUAAACAUUGAGGGUUAAAAGGAACGUCUAAUGUAUUCAAAUACAUUUUUAGGGGUUAAAAGGAACAUCUAGUGUAUUCUUUAAGGGUUAAAGUAAAUGAGCAAACUUUAUUUUCAAUAUUAAUUAUCAAGUUUACUCUCUGUUAUAUACAGUUUUUUUAGCUUUAUACCGGUAAAGGGUUAAUCGGUACAUAUCGGAUGCUUGGAGGGUUGAAUCGGCCGAGUUAAAACAUCGAGGCCGCAUCAGCACACAUCCCCAAACAUCGAGGUUUUAAAGGGUAUUAAGCCUUUUAAUAUUACAAUCAAAAAACAUUAAACAGGCUAAUAUUAUCCGCAGUUACAGAAUGUGCGCAUAUCCAAACUGAAGUGAUUUAACAUAUAUGAAUUCAUGCAAAAAAGCAAACAAAAGGAUAAGGUCCAUAACUCAUGAAAACUUGACAUGAAGCUGCAUAGCUCUUCAACAUUCUAUUUUAGUAAUUUUAUGGCGGAAAAUAUUUUCUUCUUCAGUUUCUUGAGCGUCUUCCCAAUCCUGAUCUUCAACCUAUGUGUUCUGAGUCGCAAAUGCGACAAUUUUCUUCUUUUUGGCGAACCCGUAGCAGCCUGCUGCAACACUUUGUAGAUCAAGAACUGCGCCCGUCGAUGUUGUAUUUCUCCAGGGUCUUCUCUUUCCAUUUUUGAGUAUCCGCAGGACUUGUUUAUCAUAUGAUUAAUCAUCUUUUCGCAAUAACUAACGACUUAUGAGUUUUGGCUUCAGAAACUAAGGAAAGACAGAGAGAUGAAGUUCCUUGAAGAUGGGAUGAUUGGGCAUUUGUUAAGUCAUACUACUUGAGCAGUAUAUAUAGGAAAAAAUGGAAACAGAAGUGGAGUAUACUCCAAUAUUAUACUCUUUCCGUCCCAAAUUUUUAUAUAAAAGAACACACAUAUAUUAUCAGAUAUUAAUGAAGAAGUGUUGGAGAAAUUAAUAUAAAUUGAUAGAUGAGGAAAAAUGUAUGAAAAUAAUGAACAGGAAAAUUUUGAACAGAAAAAAUUACCUGAAAUCUCUUGAAAUGAAAUAUAA